UACGUAGGGUGCGAGCGUUAAUCGGAAUUACUGGGCGUAAAGCGUGCGCAGGCGGUUUUGUAAGCCAGAUGUGAAAUCCCCGGGCUUAACCUGGGAAUGGCAUUUGGGACUGCAAGGCUUGAGUGCGGCAGAGGAGACUGGAAUUCCCGGUGUAGCAGUGAAAUGCGUAGAUAUGCGGAGGAACACCGAUGGCGAAGGCAAUCCCCUGGGCCUGCACUGACGCUCAUGCACGAAAGCGUGGGGAGCAAACAGG
rnacentral:rRNA from 1 species